rnacentral:rRNA from 1 species
UAUACCUACGGGACGCAGCAGUAAGGGAUAUUGGUCAAUGGGGGAAACCCUGACCGAGCAACGCCGCGUGAGUGAAGAAGGUUUUCGGAUCGUAAAGCUCUGUUGUAAGUCAAGAACGGGUGUGAGAGUGGAAAGUUCACACUGUGACGGUAGCUUACCAGAAAGGGACGGCUAACUACGUGCCAGCAGCCGCGGUAAUACGUAGGUCCCGAGCGUUGUCCGGAUUUAUUGGGCGUAAAGCGAGCGCAGGCGGUUUGAUAAGUCUGAAGUUAAAGGCUGUGGCUCAACCAUAGUUCGCUUUGGAA